rnacentral:rRNA from 1 species
GGAGUCUGGACCGUGUCUCAGUUCCAAUGUGACCGUUCAUCCUCUCAGACCGGUUACCGAUCGUCGGCUUUGUAAGCUCUUACCUUACCAACUACCUAAUCAGACGCAGACCCAUCGCAAAGCGAUAGCUUACAAGUAGAGGCCAUCUUUAAUCAGUCUCCCAUGCGAGAAACUGACAACAUUCGGUAUUAGCAGUCCUUUCGGACUGUUGUCCCCAUCUUUGCGGCAGGUUGUCUACGCGUUACUCACCCGUUUGCCACUCGACUCAUCUAAGCAAGCUUAAAAUCGUCUCGUUCGACUUGCAUGUGUUAAGCACGCCGCCAGCGUUCGUCCUCGAGCCAUGAUCAAACUACU